GACGAACGCUGGCGGUGUGCUUCACACAUGCAAGUCGAACGAGGUAGCAAUACCUAGUGGCGGACGGGUGAGUAACGCGUGGGAAUCUGCCCAUAGGUGGGGGAUAACUAGCCGAAAGGUUAGCUAAUACCGCAUAUGCCGAGAGGUAAAAGGAGUAAUCCGCCUUUGGAUGAGCCCGCGUCCGAUUAGCUAGUUGGUAGGGUAAAAGCCUACCAAGGCUACGAUCGGUAGCUGGUCUGAGAGGAUGAUCAGCCACAAUGGGACUGAGACACGGCCCAUACUCCUACGGGAGGCAGCAGUGGGGAAUUUUACGCAAUGGGGGAAACCCUGACGUAGCGACACCGCGUGAACGAAGAAGCCCUUUGGGGUGUAAAGUUCUGUCGGCUGGAACGAAAAAAAUGACGGUACCAGCAAAGGAAGCAUCGGCUAACUACGUGCCAGCAGCCGCGGUAAU
rnacentral:rRNA from 1 species